GAUGAACGCUAGCUACAGGCUUAACACAUGCAAGUCGAGGGGCAGCAUGAACUUAGCUUGCUAAGUUUGAUGGCGACCGGCGCACGGGUGAGUAACACGUAUCCAACCUGCCGAUGACUCGGGGAUAGCCUUUCGAAAGAAAGAUUAAUACCCGAUGGCAUAGUUCUUCCGCAUGGUAGAACUAUUAAAGAAUUUCGGUCAUCGAUGGGGAUGCGUUCCAUUAGGUUGUUGGCGGGGUAACGGCCCACCAAGCCUUCGAUGGAUAGGGGUUCUGAGAGGAAGGUCCCCCACAUUGGAACUGAGACACGGUCCAAACUCCUACGGGAGGCAGCAGUGAGGAAUAUUGGUCAAUGGACGAGAGUCUGAACCAGCCAAGUAGCGUGAAGGAUGACUGCCCUAUGGGUUGUAAACUUCUUUUAUACGGGAAUAAAGUGAGGCACGUGUGCCUUUUUGUAUGUACCGUAUGAAUAAGGAUCGGCUAACUCCGUGCCAGCAGCCGCGGUAAUACGGAGGAUCCGAGCGUUAUCCGGAUUUAUUGGGUUUAAAGGGAGCGUAGGCGGACGCUUAAGUCAGUUGUGAAAGUUUGCGGCUCAACCGUAAAAUUGCAGUUGAUACUGGGUGUCUUGAGUACAGUAGAGGCAGGCGGAAUUCGUGGUGUAGCGGUGAAAUGCUUAGAUAUCACGAAGAACUCCGAUUGCGAAGGCAGCCUGCUGGACUGUAACUGACGCUGAUGCUCGAAAGUGUGGGUAUCAAACAGGAUUAGAUACCCUGGUAGUCCACACAGUAAACGAUGAAUACUCGCUGUUUGCGAUAUACAGUAAGCGGCCAAGCGAAAGCGUUAAGUAUUCCACCUGGGGAGUACGCCGGCAACGGUGAAACUCAAAGGAAUUGACGGGGGCCCGCACAAGCGGAGGAACAUGUGGUUUAAUUCGAUGAUACGCGAGGAACCUUACCCGGGCUUGAAUUGCAACUGAAUGAUGUGGAGACAUGUCAGCCGCAAGGCAGUUGUGAAGGUGCUGCAUGGUUGUCGUCAGCUCGUGCCGUGAGGUGUCGGCUUAAGUGCCAUAACGAGCGCAACCCUUAUCGAUAGUUACCAUCAGGUUAUGCUGGGGACUCUGUCGAGACUGCCGUCGUAAGAUGUGAGGAAGGUGGGGAUGACGUCAAAUCAGCACGGCCCUUACGUCCGGGGCUACACACGUGUUACAAUGGGGGGUACAGAAGGCAGCUACACGGCGACGUGAUGCUAAUCCCGAAAGCCUCUCUCAGUUCGGAUUGGAGUCUGCGACCCGACUCCUUGAAGCUGGAUUCGCUAGUAAUCGCGCUUCUGCCUCGGCGCGGUGAAUACGUUCCCGGGCCU
rnacentral:rRNA from 1 species